AGAGACACAGCGAGAGAGGGAACACAAGCGGGGGGAGUGGGAGAGGGAGAAGCAGGCUUCCCGCGGAGCAGGGAGCCCGACGCGGGGCUCGAUCCCAGGACCCUGGGAUCAUGACCUGAGCCGAAGGCAGACGCUUAACGACUGAGCCAUCCAGGCGACCUGAGAUGAAUUUGGAAUGACUUUUUUUCCAAUGGUCACUGUGGACAGUGAGGUAGCCUAUUCAGUCCCUCCCUGCUGCUUGUUUUUAUUGCCUUAUUUUUUUGAGAGAGAGAUUACUUCUUUUCUCCUGCAAGGCCCGGCACCUGAAAUGAGGUUAAAAACUGAAGUUACUCUCCAGCCAGAGGAAGGACAAUGGUAACAGCUCCCAAGUUUUUGCGGCCUUCAUCUUCUCCACAGUCAGCCCCUGACUCAGAGCUGAAGCCCCGUGGAAGCCCGUCAUGGUUUCUCCUUCCUCUAACCCCAGUGAUGGAACCCCGUGGCUUCACCAGAUGCAGUGAGGCACAAAGAGACUUCCUGGAAUGCUGGGACAGGAGUGGCUGCUCCUUUCUGCUGAACUCUCAUCUGAGAGGACAUUGUGAUGGAGGUGGUGCUGCCAUAUUGUUAUCAUGUGGAACAUGAAGCCUACAGGGAGGAAGGGAGAGUCCAAAGAUGAAGAUGUUAUUUGAACUCCAAGUCCAGCCAUGAAGACUCUGGCUUUUUUUUUUUUUUUUUUAAGAUUUUAUUUAUUUAAUUGACAGAGAGAGACACAGUGAGAGAGGAACACAAGCAGGGGGAGUGGGAGAGGGAGAAGCAGGCUUCCCAUUGAGCAGGGAGCCCGAUGCAGGGCUCGAUCCCAGGACCCUGGGAUCAUGACCUGAGCCGAAGGCAGAUGCUUAAUGACUGAGCCACCCAGGUGCCCCCCCCACCUUUUUAAGGAAACUUUUAAUUUAAGGAUAGUUUUGGAUUUACAGAAAAAUUAUAAUAAUAUAGAGAGUUCCCAUAGACCCGGACCCAGGUUCUCCCAUUAUUAACAUCCUGUAUUGGUAUGGUAUACAUAUUAGUUAAUGAAGUGAUACUGAUACAUUUUCAUUAAAUAAAGUCCAUAUUUUAUUCAGGUGUUCCUACUUUUCCCAUCAUGCCCCUUUUUCUGUCCUAGGAGCCCAUCCAGAACACCACACUACUUUUAGUCCUCAUGUCCUCUUGGGCUUCUCUUGGCUGUGACAUUUUCUCAGAUUUUCCUUGUUUUUGGUUACCUCAACACUGGUGAGAAAUACUGGUCAGGUAUUUUGUAAAAUGCCCCCCAGUUGGAGUUUGUCUGAUGUUUUUCUCAUAAAUAGACUGGGUUAUAUGUUUUCAGAGGAAGCCCAUAGAAGUCGAGUGCCAUUCUCAUCACAACAUAUCAAAGGUACAUACUGUUAACGUGCCUUAUCACUGUUACUGUUGACCUUGAUCACCCGGCUGAGGUUAGGUUGGUCAGGUUUCUCCGCUGUAAAGUUACUUUUUCAAUCUCCCUUUUUCUAGACUGCACUUUUGGGAAGGGAGUCAGCAUGGGUAGCUCAUGCUUAAGGAGUGGGGAUUUAUGUUCCUUCCCUUUGAGGAUGGAGUAUCUACAUAAAUUAUUUGGAAUCUUCUGUGUGGGAGAUUUGUCUCUUUCCCCCCAUUUAUUUAUUCAAUCAUUUAUUUAUAUAAAUAUAAAUACUCUUGUAUAUUUAUUUUAUACUUUGGGAUAUAAUCCAACACUGUAUUUUGUUGCUCAAAAUAUUCCAACUUUGGGCAUCGGGAGAUCGGUCAGUUGCCUCCCAUCAUUGGGGUCACCUGGACUUUUUUAGUAACAUGAGCUAUCAAUUCCUUCUUAGUCCAAGUCCGUUUAGAUCAGGGUUUCUGUCGCUUGUAACCAAAAGAUUCUUAACAAAUCUUAAAAGAAGAGAGAGCCCUUAGGUUACAUUACUUGUUGAAAAUCUCACAUGUUUCUUAUGUCAAUGCAGCUAGUGUGACCAUUUUACACUGGAAAGCGCAGAUCCUCCCUUGGGCUGUGGCGACCACUUCGCUGAACACUGUAAUAAUAUCAGGAGGCUCAGGAGAUUGGGGCUGUGUGUGGUUCAAGUUCCAGCCUUGUGGUCUUAGACAAGUCACGUGAUCUCCGAGUUAUAAAAGUGGCACAGAGAUGAGAAGGGAUUAAGUGACAGCACAUCAUUGUGAUUCAAUCCAGAGGCCAAGACUGUGCCUCUCAUCCACUAAUAAACCAGCUACUGGGGAGUGUAAAUGAAGCUCUCAGAGCAGGGCUGCCAGAUAAAAUAUAGGAUG